rnacentral:rRNA from 1 species
GACGAACGCUGGCGGCGUGCUUAACACAUGCAAGUCGAACGGAAAGGCCCUGCUUUUGUGGGGUGCUCGAGCGGCGAACGGGUGAGUAACACGUGAGUAACCUGCCCUUGACUUUGGGAUAACUUCAGGAACCUGGGGCUAAUACCGGAUAGGAGCUCCUGCUGCAUGGUGGGGGUUGGAAAGUUUCGGCGGUUGGGGAUGGACUCGCGGCUUAUCAGCUUGUUGGUGGGGUAGUGGCUUACCAAGGCUUUGACGGGUAGCCGGCCUGAGAGGGUGACCGGCCACAUUGGGACUGAGAUACGGCCCAGACUCCUACGGGAGGCAGCAGUGGGGAAUAUUGCACAAUGGGCGGAAGCCUGAUGCAGCAACGCCGCGUGCGGGAUGACGGCCUUCGGGUUGUAAACCGCUUUCGCCUGUGACGAAGCGUGAGUGACGGUAAUGGGUAAAGAAGCACCGGCUAACUACGUG